UACGUAGGAGACGAGCGUUGUCCGGAAUUACUGGGCGUAAAGCGCGUGUAGGCGGAUGAGCAAGUCUGCUGUGAAAGCUCCUGGCUUAACCGGGAGUGGUCGGUGGAAACUGGAGGGCUAGAGUGCGGGAGAGGAGAGUGGAAUUCCCGGUGUAGCGGUGAAAUGCGCAGAUAUCGGGAAGAACACCCGUGGCGAAGGCGGCUCUCUGGAACGCAACUGACGCUGAGACGCGAAAGCGUGGGGAGCAAACAGG
rnacentral:rRNA from 1 species